AUAGUUUGUUAGUUAUACAUUGGCAAAAAAAAAAAGUUAGUGAUUACACAUUAUUAGAUUUUCAAACUAUACAACACAUCAGAGUUGACAAAGAAGAUAAUAGAUACUUAGAUUAGAUACCAUUAAUGGUAAUGCAUGUCUAUUAUUUGGAUUGGUCCAUUAAUGAAUGUCAAUAGUAUUAGUUAUAAUGUGAUUUAAGUAUUUAGUCCGACAAUAAUGGGAAGUGGCAACCAGUAUUUGCCUCAUGACAAUGCUAUGCAGAUUAAUUAGUGAAAUUUUUAUUAGUCAUAGUUUUUCUCGGUAUCACAAAUUAAAAUUGGGAGAAGACCAACCAAAUCAAGUUGCAUUAUACUUUAAUUUUAUAAUUAGCAAUUACUUCUCGUUAUAUAAUUUCAAUUAGACCCAUGCGGUUAGAUAUUUAUUUCAUGGGCUCUUAUUGGGCCUGCUUACAACACUCGCCGUAUUUUAACUGUAGUGAUACACCGCGCGUAAAGCUGGUGGUGAUGGUUGUCCUCCCGAUCGCCGGUUGUGGUUGCUCAAAAUGACAAAUUUGAUGUUAUGCAGCUUCUAUGGUGAACCGGGUAUCAUGUGAUAGCACUCUGGAGGGUUCAUCAGAGCAACGGAUUACUUCAGAUGCAGUCAUUGAGGUCAAUAUAGAGGUUUCUUUUGCGUUUAGAGUGUUUCCUGUGGGAGCUAUAGAGGCGACGGGGACGCAAGUUCUUGACCAGAUUCUUAGACUCAUGCUACCACGAUUCUUGUCUCAGGUAUGAAGGGAAACAUAUCUGUACUAUUACCUUUUAUGAUCACUUAUCUUGCGUCAAUGUGACCCGUUUCAUUGGUUCUUUGUGGCCACCAUGUUUUUAAACUGAAAGAUCAUCCUGGCUCCUUGAAAUAUAAUCUUGACAUACUCUUUUACUCGUGAUUCUAGCUCUCCAAAGACUAUCAAGCCAUGGGCUUCCGGAGACACUUCAAGGCAACCUCUUGGGACUGGCGAGAUCUGAUAGUAGAUCAAAAUGGACCUUACCUGGCUCAGAGAAGUCUUCAUCUUUUUCAAAUGUGUUCUUGUAAAAUGACCAUAGAUGAGUUUGAAUUCUCUGGAAUAAAAUUCUUUGAUAGAAUGGUUGUUUGUUCCACUUUAUUUAGGAAUGUCAAUUGGUCCAGCCAAAGCCCAUAAUAUGCAAAACCCAUAAAUAUUUAAAUUUGACCCGACCUUAAAAUGUGCCGUAUUUUACCUAGCCCAAAGUAUAUUUUUAGCUGAUUCAAGGGGAAAAAAAUUCAGCUAAACCAUCCGGUUAAACUGGUUUAAUGAUUAGCCUCAGUCAUAGAUUUAAUUGCUAAAAGUGUGAGUUAAAUCUUGUAUAUAGGUUGAACUAGACCAGAUUAAUUGUAAUAUUAGAUUAGACAACAGUUGUUCUUUUAGGACAAGAACUCAUGUUUUCUUUUUCAUUCCAUUAAUCAAAUCUUAGUACAAGCUAAACAGUCAUGAACUAAGUAGAGCUUUAGAUGAGAUGGGAUAUAAAGCCAUCUCUUUUAGACCAGACCACAACUCAUGUGAAACUCUGAUACUGUUCGAGUAAGACAAAAUAGUAAAAGCACCAAAGCAGUUAAAUCUUUUAAAUGGUAAAAACAACUAAUGUGGUGAAAGGUGAGAUCAUUACCCUAUUUAAAUGUGUAGGCAUGGCUCCGAUCUUUGGCCACAGUACCAUUCAAUACUUUCUGUUUCAAUGUCAUUAAAAAUGUUUGGUCUAAUUCCAUUUAUUUCAUCUCUACCCCUUGUAACCUAAUUUUAUAAGCUAUUUAAUUACAUAUCCAUCGUAUAUAUUCACAAAACUUAAUAAUGGAACUGUAUUUCAGUAGUAAGUAGUAACCAGAAGAAGAAAAAAAAAAAAAAAGACUACAUAUAGAUCAGUAUAUUCAGUUGACGUUCGUUUUAUAAUAUGAUACUAGAAAGUUUUGCAGACUUCAUGAUGGUAAUACUGUACCAAACAAACCCGGCUAAUUAUUGUACCCCACUAGCCAACAUUUUUUUAAUAACCUGUUGAUUUGAUACUAAUAUCGAAUAAUAUUUGAUUUCAUGUGCUGGAAUAAUCAUCAUUGUUGAUUCUUACGGCGUGUUAUAUAAAGUACUACAUUUUUAUUGUAGGUACUUUCACGCACGAUCUAAUAAAAUAAACCUGAUCAAACAUAAUUAACAAGGAUCAUGGAAAUUAAUACUCUAUGUUUUUCAUCAAUCAUCAUCGUGCUUAUCCACCUUUGUUUACAUCGCAUUCACAAGAUCUCCAUAAUGAAAAGUAAAUCUACAAUGUAAACUAUAUUAUAUUGUUUAACCUCUUUUGUUUAAUCUCAUACUUGGUAAUGUUUGUACUUGUUGCUAAUUGACGUCAUCCCAUUGUUAAAGAUCAAAUUUGUCGAUAAUAUGUCAGUAAGUAGUAAAUAUUGACAAUGUUUAUACGAGUAUAGCUCGACCCUCUACAAUAUUCAAAUAUCAAAAGAAACUCAUAUCAAAAACUCAUACAUUACGUAUAUCUCAAGUGAUUCAGAAUAACAUGUAGUUCAAAUUCGUUUCUCACAAUAUCAAUUCAUAAUUAUAAGCACUUUUUCAAAAAAAAAAAAAAAUCAA